rnacentral:lncRNA from 1 species
GGCUGUUGGCAUGUCUUAGGCAAGCCACCCUGUGCAAGUUCCCUAAUCUGUGCCUGCAGUUUGAUUUUUCAGGCUGUUGUUUUGUUUGAAAUAAUUUUACCAAGGACCCACCCUAACUGCCUGCCUGACUGGUUUCUUCCUUCCUCCUCUCUCAGAAUCAUGAUGUCUCUGCUCUUUAGUGUUUGGCUGCUUUUGCUCUUUGCUCCACAUUACAUCUAUGGGAUUCACUUAUAUGUAGCAAUAGUUUGUUUAUUCUCUCUCUUUUUUUUUUUUUUUUUUGAGAUAGGGUCUUACUGUGUCACCCAGGCAGGAGUACAGUGGUGUGAUCUCAGCUCACUGUAGCCUCGACCUCCUAGGCUCAAGCGAUCCUCCCACCUCAGCCUCUUGAGUAGCUGGGACUACAGGUACAUGCCAUCAUGCCUGGCUAAAUUAUUUUAUUUUAUUUUAUUUUUAGUAAAGAUGAGGCCUCACUGUGUUGACCAGGCUGGUCUCAAGCUCCUGGUGUCAAGAGAUCCCCCCACCUCAGCCUCCCGGUAUUCUAGGAUUACAGAGGCUCUCACCAGCAGUGUAUGACAGCUCCGGGUGUAGCACAGCCUCUCCAAUAUGUGGUAUUUUCUGUUCUGUUUUUAUCUUCAUCACUUCUGAGUGUAUAUUGAUACCUUCUUAUGAUUUAAUCAAAAUCAAAGAAAAGCAAAUCAUGCUUUCUUGAUGAUUAAUGAUGUCGUGCAUCUUUUAAUAUGACCAAUAGGUCAUUUGGAUAUCUUCUUUUGUGAAAUGCCUGUUCAAGUUCUUUGCCCAUUUUUCUGUUGGGUUGUCUAUGUUUUCUUUAUUGAUCUAUAGGAAUUGUUUUCUUUUAAAACCUAUUUUUCUUUUUUUUUUUUUUAGAGACAGGGUCUUGCUGUGACACUCAGGUUGGAGUGCAGUGGCACAAUCAUAGCUUUCCUAGGCUCAAAUGAUCUUCUUGUUUCAGCCUCCCUAGUAGCUGGGACUACAAGCACAUGCCCCCAUGUCCAGCAAAUUUUUUAUAGAGAUGGGGUCUCACUAUGUUGCCCAGGCUGGACUUGAGCUCCUGGCUUCAAGUGAUCCUCGAACCUCAGCCUUCCAAAGCUUUGGAAUUACAGGCAUGAGCCACCAUGCUCAGCCAGUAUUCUUUAUAUAGCUGUCAUAGUUAUCUCUCUAUCCCUAGGCCCAGCACACUGUCCAUUUUCUAAUAUGUGUUUAACACCUCUUCGAGCUGUUGUUGAAUGAAAUAGCACACAUGAGUUGAAAAAGAUAACUCUUGUUGGGUGAUGAAGAUCAUUAUGAAUUUUGAUUUUUGCUCAACACUAACAAUUUUUUGAGGUAUAAUUUAUAUGCCCCGAAUUUUACUUGUUUUAUGUGUACAGUUUCGUGACUUACUGUGUUGUGUGAUCAUUACCACAAACUAAUUUUAGAACAUUUACAUCGCCUCAGAGAAACCUUGUGUUUGUUUCUUUCUUCCUUGUUUGCAGCUCCAACUCCAGGUGACCACUAAUUUUUAAAUUGUGUCUAUGGAUUUGCCUUUUCUGGACGUUGCAUAUAAAUGGAAUCAUAUAAUACAUUGCCUUUUGUGUCUGGCUUCUUUCACUUAGCACAAUGUCUUUGAGGUUCAUCCAUGUUGUAGCGUGAAUCAAUAUCUCCUUCUCAUGGCUGAGUAAAUAUUCCAUUGUAUUGGCAUACUACAUCUUGUCUAUCUAUUCACCAGCUGAUGGACAUUUAGAUUAUUUCCACUGUUUGACUUCUGUGAAUAAUACUGCUAUGAACAUUCACUACAAGUUUUGUGUGGACAUAUGUUUUCAUUUCUCUUAGGUAGAUGCCUCGGAAUAAAUUGCUGGGUCAUUAGUGAUGAGGAAAAUGACGCUCAGAGACGUAAGUAAAUCACCCAAUGCCACACAGCUAGAAAGUGGCAGAAAUGGGGUUUGAAUAAAGGCAGUCCAGAGCCAACAUAUUUAACCACUAACUACAUUUAACCAUUUAAAUUCCCAUAUUCCAGUUACUGGAUUCGAUCUCCAAUUACAGACGGGGAAAUAGACCCAAAGGUAUGGGAAGACUUGAGGAUUUGGAGGUUACCUGAUUGAUAAGAGAUCAGCAACAGGAGUUCCACUAACUGCUAGUCCAGUCUUAUUUCUAUGAAGACUGACAUUGGGUAUCACCAGAGAGUCUUUUCUUUUCUUUUCUUUUCUUUUUUCUGAGAUGGAGUCUUGCUCUGUCGCCAGGCUGGAGUAC